GGAAGAGGAGGCUGAAGGUGGCCUUUGGCAAUGCUGAGCCCGUCAUGGGGAGAUGCCACAAGGAGUGGUGCAGAGAGGAGGCUCUCCCAGUGCCCAACACCCGCUGCUCCACCUGCAUACCACCACAGCUCUGGCUUAUCCUCAGCGAAGGGCUGUGAGGAAUACAGAGCUCACAGCGCUGCUCGUUUGCAGAGUGCAUUCUGAUGGCUCAGCUUGACAUACCCUGCAGCAGGCAGUGGCUGCUCCUGCGUGAGCUGAGCUGGCCAUGCAGCCUCCCCAGCCCCAUUGACAUGCCGGGGCUUAACCCUCUCAUACCCACAUACCGUGCCCAUGUAGCUUGUAGGGUGUCUGUCCAUCCGCCUUUGUGGGAUGUCUGUCCAUCCAUCUUGGCCUGAGCUGGGUCCCUUUUGCUUCCUGAACUUGCUCCAGAUUCAGGCAGCUGUGUGAGCCCCCACGCAGUCCCAUUGCCACAGCCCUGCUGUCCCAGCUGUGGCUGCCUUUCCAGGGCAGGAGGGUGCUGAGCUGUGGGGCUGGCUCAGGAUGGGUGGGUGAGUGUGGCUUACCCCUCAGCACCGCACAGCUUGGUGGUCUGCCUGGCAAAUCUGACCAAAAUGCAAAUCUGAACCCGUGUCAAACACCCUUACCUAUGUCAUGUUCCACCACUAUGUGAGAUCCCACCGUGGACCAAGAGAUGCCAUUAUGAACACGUGUCCAGCAUGCAAUCAAGGCAUGAACUCGUGGUGCUCAUUAUUGGCUUCCCUCAAAGUUUCUGGACAUUUGUCACUGUUUCUUUCUCUUAGGCCAGGAGGGGCUUGUUGUGAAUUGAUUCCCAAUGGCCACAGUGCUCUCCUGUGCUGUCAUUAUGUGUGAUCGUAAGUAAUAACAACAAUCACCGUGUCACUGCUUCCGAGGCAGGCUUUGUCUCUCUGCAUUGGCACCCUUUCAUCUCCAGCUCCCCGGCACGCUGCUGCUGGCAGGUCGGUGUGUUUGUUGGGUUGGUGGUGACAGGUAAUAAUCUGAAGCCUGCAACGUCUCAGCAAGCAGCUGAAGCAUUUCUUCUGCCUUUUCUGCCCCUUCACCCAGCAGUGCUGGGCAGGGGACUCGCAGGACCUGACUGAGAUAGAUCCUCUUCCCAUUGCCCUGGGGAAUGGCAGAGUUUAUAGCAGCAACACAUCAGGCUGAGAUAUCCAUCCAGCCGUCCCCUCCGGGUUAAGGAGGGCUCUUUAUUUUUUUGUUAAUGGGUUCAAUGUUUUACAGCUAACGUUCAAAUAGCAGCUUAAGAGCUUAAAGUACGAAACAGAAGGAUGUGUUGGCACGUCAGGAUGUCCUUCCUCCUCCUGCCUGCCAUGCUCUGCCUGGUGUUAACCCGAGGAAAAGUACCACUAAACUCUGAGCCUCCUCUGAGCGGUGCAUCCUAUUCAUGGCAUUCCUUCUAUUCUUGUCCAUACCAGCCCAAGGGUACUGCUAUUGCUAUCACUUUCCCUUUAUUUAUAUGCGCUCAGCCACCAGCCCUUAAUAUUCUGUAACACGAGAGCACACCUUCCUGAUCACUUUCCUUCAUUAAGAAAACUUCAUUUCAGCGCUGACGGGGAAAUGAAUUGGGUGAAGGAAAACAAACCACCCUAACGUAACCAUAAGCUUUCUGGUUGGAUUAAAUAUUAAAAUUAAUAAUCCAGCACUGCAUUCAGCCUUGUAUUUAUGUUAAUAUUUAAUUCAAUAAAAGCCCACAUUUUAGAACACUUUCCCAUUUGUUUAAAGCUGCAGAUGAAAUUGUGGUCUCGGCAUUAUGUAGAACAAUCCGCAGCUGACUGCUUUAUGGUAAUGAGGAGGAAUGGCAGCUCCAGAGCCCUCCACCCAGGCAGGAGGGGAAGAUCCAGCAGCGAGAGGAUGUGAGGCUGCUGGGGAAUGUGAUUCUUGCUCGGCUCUUAGGAGAGAGGCCGUGUGAUGGGCAAUGGUGGUGCAAAGCCCAGGGGCAGUGAGCGCUCUGUGUGUGACUCUGGGACCCAUUUGCAUGCCACAUUGCACAGGGGAGCAGCCAUGCAGCAGCUCAAGGAUUUGGGGAAUCAUAGAAUUGUUAAGGUUGGAAAAGAACUCUAGGUCAAGUCCAACUGUCAGCCCAUCACCAUCAUGCCCACUAAACCAUGCCCCUGAGUGCCAUAUCCCUGUGCUUCUUUACCGUGUCUACACGUUUCUUGAGCACCUCUGCUGCUAAAGAGAGAAAACCAACAACCUUUUGAUUAAUUUUUAACUUCCUGUCUGUUAACUUCAUGGGUGCAACAGUAGAACUCCAGGAGGCUUCAGUUUGUGUUAUAGUCUUCCCAGCCAUCACUUCCCCAACAAGUCCUUGCCCUUGGAAAUGGUAAGUAGACAAGUCCUGGGCUGGAGAUGCAUCUCGGCUUUUCAGGACAAGGGCAGGACAAGGUAAGAGCAUCACGCAAGGGUGGUGAGAUUGGACCCACACUGUGUUCUCCUCCCAUGGCCCUGGGACACCCUGGGUUGGUUCAGCCUCACACCAGGUGAGAUGCUGCGAAUGCUAAGCUUUACCAGAACCAUCCCAUUCUCUUCUUCAAUGCUAACACCUAGUUGGGGUUACCCCAAAGGAUCAUCCAUUGCCCUGGAGGGCUCAUGCUGCAUGCUGAAAAGCAAGUGGGAAGGACUUUGAGGUCAUGCUUGGUUGGUCUCAUUUUCCAAGGGACCUGUGAGCAGAGCUCCUGGCAGAGGCUGAUGAUUGGGUUUUGCCAAUGGGGAGAUAUUAUGAAAAAAUAAAGAAAGAAAAGAAAGAAAGAAAGAAAGAAAGAAAGAAAAGAAAAGCUUUCCCAGGAUAGCUGCAAUUGAAAUACAGAAUAAUUAAAUUGCCUGACAUCACAUGCAGAAAGAAGGUGGAGCACGUAGCAGUGAUCAGUAAAAAUGAAACGCUUUGCAGGUGGAGUACACCUGAGUUUUCUGCAGUCCAGAUAUGUACUCAGACUUCCUGGAAUCUUUUGGGGCCUAAUUAAAUUCAAAGGGAUUUAAGCAAAAUCUGCAUGGAAGAUAAUACUUUUCUUUCUAUUAAGGAACUGCUUAAUAAAACAGAUUAUGUGUAAAAUAGAAAUAUGGGCCCUGCAACAGGAAAGUGAAAAGACACUAAUGAGCAGUGUCUGAGUGUUAAUGAAUUGUAUUAGCAUGCCAUUACCUGCAAAUAUUAUAAAUAGACCGACUGGUUUUGCAUUCCCUUCCCUCCCAAGAACUGUAUGUGAUCUCUAGGAGUGUCUUGCUGGGUUUCUGGGAGCUGUGUUCACCCUUUGAGCCUACAGUGGAGGUGGAGAUGAGAACAUUGACUUUUCGUUUCACUACAUCAUGCAUUCCUUUGGGCAUUCUGAAGCCACCAGGGGAGAGAAGAUGGGGGACGCUGCAUUUUAUUUGGGCUUAGCCCAUAGGCCACGUUGGGAAGGAGACAAAACAGCUGCGUGCUGCGGGAGGGUAAGAUGGGAUGGGGUUGUGGCAAACCCACCCCUGUGCUUUCCCCAUCACAGCGAUGGACAAGUCCAGAGAUAUUCUGGGUAGAGAAGCUGGGAGGAGAUGCUACCAAUAAUUGGGAGGGAUGUCAAGAAGAAAUGAUGUAUUUAAACAUACGGACAGGGAUACCUCACCCCUCACCAGCCAUGUAAGGGUUAGGUGUGUGCUCGUUUUGCUGCUCUCUGCAGUCCAUGCAGAAGCAAGUUUCUGGCAGAAGUCUUGGCCCGAAGAGGUGUCCAUGGCAGAUGGGUUCAGCUGUUCUCUGGAGGGUUCUCCUCCUGUUGAUAACAGAGAGAGUGUAGGCAAGUUUGAGACCCAAUGCAUGUCAGUGCUGUUAGCAGAGACAAGCCCUCUUCCCUCCUGGAUGAGGUGCAAACAACUGUAAUUCUGCAAAAUUCCAUGUGGGUUAGUGCUCAUUUCUUAAACAGCCCAAGCUGUCAGGAAUAUCCGAUGUGUGUGAGGAAGAGGAGUGAAGGAGCUGCUGCUUUCUGGCUGCAAUUCGGAUCUCCUGCUUCGACUUCAGAGCCAACAUCCAGACCUCCUGCUCUCCAGGGGCUGUUCCACUGGGUGCUGCAGACCCAAGUAAGUUAGGAGCCAUCUUCCCAUUGUCCUAAGAAGAGUCAUAGUCUUAAUACUGCUGCUCUACUACGGCUCUUUGGCUCCUGCACCCCCAAAUAACAGGCAGACAUUGGUCUGCUGGGCUGGGACAGAAGCACCACGACCCUGGGAGGUGCAGCUCCUUCCAUGGUGAGGAGAGGCUCUCAGUUGGCUCUCUUGCUCUGUUUUGCAUUUCUUUGUGAACACAUGGGGAGAAAAAAAAGGCACGGCUGACAAUAUUCUGCCUUCUUUUACUGCUGGAAGCAAGGAUGAACAGAUUUGCUUUACCAGACACGUCUCUGCAGGCUGCUGGCAGGUUGUCCGUGGACCACAGCUUGCAAUGGCAGUCCUGGGGAGCGUGGGGGCUGGGGCUGUGUGUGCUCUGGGGGAGGCUGGUGCUCCCCUCUUCCUACCCAUACAACUCUGGGCAGUUCCCUUUGCAGUCAGGACCCCCUCCCGCUUCCUGAGGGCAGAGCACAGCAUCCCUCGAGGAGCUGCAAAAGGAGGAUGCUCAGGUGCUUGCACCCUGGAGCUCACCCAGCUUAGCCUGCCACAUUGUCUGCGUGGUUCAGUCUGGGCUCCCAAGCUGCUGGUGCCUUUUCCUGUGCCAGGACACACAGAUACCUGCAUACGGACACUGCUGUCUUGUCUGGCAAGAGACACUGCCUGUCCCCAGGUGAGGGUCCUUGCAGCACCACAGGGGGACAGCAUCCUAAAACACCCAUAGAAUUCUAAAAAAAAACCCAUAAACUCCUAAAAAACCCUAGGAUUCGGAGCAAGUAGCAUCCUCCCUCCUGCAGAAAUAUAGCAGAAUUGUAAAUGUCCAACCCCACAAGGAUUUUGUGACACAUCCAGCAGCCCUGCACUUUCCUUUUUUUUUUUUUUUUUGUUUUCCACCUUAGGGGUUUUGACUGCACAGCGGGGCCGGUAAUGAACUGUUACUCUGGAAAAUAAGACUUUCAUUAGGUUAGGAUUCUUCCAGGGUAUUCGUGUCCCUUUGUAAUGAACCGUGAUGAGCGUGGCAUGGAGCGGCUCAUCUUGCUGCUCAUCAGCACCAUGAUCCUUCACCUCCACCAAGCACCAUGCCUGGACCACAGGCAGAAGUCUGGGGCUCGGUGAGGGUUUCCAGCUCAUCGGGAAGCUUUUUGGUGGUUCCCAUCCAAGCUCAGGUCGUAAGUAGCCCUGCCUUCUCAUUACCUACAUCUAACGAGCAAAUGUUGAUUAUUUCUUCUUUAUGCAUUCAUUAUUCAAAACUAGCAGGUACUGAAAUUGCACCACGCUUCUCUUCAGAAAUGAAAACAUUAAUAACUGCUUUGACUAAGCACAGAGAGAUCAUUUAUUUUACAAACACACAGAAAAUUCAGGCCCGUUGGGAUUAAAGCCCAGCAUUUCUUUGCAGGCAGUGGCUUCAGGGUAGAUUUUACCAUGCAAGAGAAUUUGCUUUAGGCACGUGCGGACCUGGCUGGGCUGGGUGCCCAUUGCCAUCAGCUAUGGAAUAGCUGAGAGUAGCAGUGCCAGCUGCAGUGCAUGUUCUUCCUCUCCUCCCUGCACUCCCUGAAUGCAGACCUCCCCCUUCAGAGCCCGUGGAGGUCUGAUGGCCAGAAGGGUGGCUGAAGGCUGGGAUUUGCCUUGUCCAAGCAUGGGCAUGGGCUCUGGGUGCUACUUCAGCCCUGCCUAAGGGUCUCAUGGGGAAGAUCGGAUCCCACCCUGUGCCUUCCAAGGGGAUGAGUGCAUCCCAGGAUCACUGGGUUAGGCAGGAGAAGACACCUCAGCUCACGUCGGUUCCAGACAUCCUUGCUCACACUGACACGUGGUUUGAGGUUAAUGCACAAUUCGAGGUUAGCAAAUAAAGCAGGCAUGCUGCCUUUCAGUGUGAUGAGAAGGAAGAGCCCCUGUAGCUCUGUGCAGAGAAUAAGAAGAUGCUGCGGUGUCUCUUUGAUCCAGCCCCCUCCCUGUCCAGCAUCCCCAGAUUAGCAUGAGCAGGCAAGCCAAGAAAUGGGAAGCAAGAGCAAGGCUGACCUCUUCCCACCAAGACUGUUCAUGCUUUGCAUUUUGCAAAUGGAGAAUACUCGCCGGUUCAGAGCUUCCAAUUAGAGUUGGAUAAAUGAGAAACUUCCCAGCUCGCUGCCCAAAAAAAUGCAGCUAAGGAGUGGUUUGGAUCCAUGCAAAGUACAGACCCUUUGAUUUUUAUUUUAGUUUUUUUUCUCCUACCAAAAUAAACCCUUCUCCUCCCACCCCGAUUAAUUUUAGAUCAAAUGAAAUGUUUUAUUCCAUUUCAGCCUGAAAUGUCACUUCGGUACAUUAUCUAGGAGAAUAUUCCUUUUUAUAAAGUAGCAGAACAAAAAAAAAAGAAAAAAAAAAGUACAACCUGUAGAAAAGUUUUCCCCUCCAAUGGAUACAUGAAAUUUGUUAUCUGGAGACCCUUAGGGUACGACCAAACCACAGGGACUGAGCACGGCACAGGUUGUCCAAAAUCACCUUGUUUCGCUCCCUCCUCCAUCCCUACUCGUUCCUCUUUCAUCAACUAUUUAAAACCCAACUCGGGGAGUUUCAUUGCUCUCUGUCUCCCUACAUCUUGGAAAAAAAAAAAAAAUGAAGUAGGAGAAGAUAUCUGUAGUUAGUGGUGCUCCUGCCUGGAGGAAUGGGUCUGGGGCAGGGGAGGAAGGGGAGCACUGGGGGCCCAAGCGAUAAUCUGGUUUUCCUGGAGUCUGAGUCCAUGUUUUCACGUGGCUACAGCUCACAUCACAGGCAGGUCUGGAGGAAGAGCUCCAAAGGGAUUAGUAAAGAUUUAUUUUUCUUUUUCUGGAGUGAGAUGAAAAGGGGGAGGCGGGGGGAGAGACGGGCAAGGAGUCCUGCAGAAAGGAACUCAUUAUUUUUUAUCUUUUCCAAUGACCUUGUUUGUUUUAUUCUGACUUGAAAGCAGUUUCUUUCUUGUGAAAUUUGGGAGAUAUCUGGAGAUUGAGGCCAAUGAGAAAGGGAAAUAUGCUGGGCAAAGAGAAGCAGCGCAGAAAAUAAAGAGAAUAAAUGUGAACAGAUCAGGAAGGACUUCUCCAAGGAGGAACACCCAUCUGGGGCUGGACUGAGACCAAGCACCGUGUCUGGGGAGAUCUGUUGAUGCCGGGGGGAAGGAUGGCUGCUGUGAGUCUGGAUGGGGCACGAUGGAGAACUUGGGUUUGCACACAUGUGUAUGCAUAUGUGCACUUGCAUGUGAUCUAGGCAAGGAUGUGUCUUCUGUGCAAAGAGCGCAGAUGCUCGUGGUGCGUUAUCGGUAUGCAGUGCUCCUCAGCCUGGGGCUGUUUGUUCUAUAGUCCACCUCUACCCAUGACCAUUGCUGUCCUUGGGGAGUGAGGAGAGCUCCCCAAACCCACUACCAGGUGCACCAUGACCCCUACGACCCACAUGCCGCCUGCAGCCCACAUGGCCCCCAGGCCUGUUCCAAUUCUGCCACCAGCUCUGCAACUGGCCUUAGUCCUUGAGUUGCAGAGACACAAACACGUGUUCUCCCAUGCAACCACACGGACAGCCUCUUCCUUUGCACUGAACCGGUGAUGUUUAACUUUUAACUCAUCCUGUGAAAAAACAAAAAACUGAAAAGUAAGCCUUCCUAGGGGGCAUGGACAGCCACCGACCUGGAGAGAAGUUCCUCUUGCCAACACACAGCAUGCCUAAUUUUAGAUAAGACCCAACCCUUGUGUUCAGUUGGUGGCUUGGUUGAUCUCCUUGUGGUUACUCAUAAAUGCUUAUGAAAAUGCUUCGAGUGCUCAAUUUGCAUAGCUAUAGAGUCUCAUAAAUAAUUCUAGGUGCUAGUAUUUAAUUAUCUGACCUAUAUUGUGGCAGCAUUUUUACUUCAUUUAUGGAAAUCGGAGAUGUGCUGAAUGGAAAUCAGGGCGUUAUAUGGACACUGAGUUGCUGUAUAAGGAAGAAAAGGAUGAGAACCCAGCUCAAAUUCUUACCUGCAGCUUCUGAUCAAUACUAACAUUAAUUGAGGAUAGUUUAGCUAAACUAGAACCCAUGGCUGCUACUGGGAGUCGCGUUUUAACCAUCAACUCAGAGAAGACCAUUUAGGAACAGGACUGCUUUUCCAAGUAAUGUUGAGGAAUGUGGUACAUGCUGGAGACACUUUCUGCUCUGCUCUGCAAACUGGGGGAUCCUGUUGCCUCUACAUAACAUGCUUUCAAGGACACUAACCCUAACAUGGGGUAAAUCACAGAACGGCUGAAGUUGGAGGCAGUGAGAACAUGGAGUGAUAGGACAAGAGGUAAUCCAGGAUAGGAUCAGGUUGGAUAUUAGAGAGAAUUUCUUCUCAGAAAGAGCAGUGAGGCACUUCACAGCUGCACAGGGAUGUGGGGAAUCACCAUCCCUGGAGGUGUUCAGAGCUGUGGAGAUGUGACACUGAGGGACGUGGGCAGUGGGCAUGGUGGGGUGGGCCGGGGUUGGACUUGGGGAUCUGAGGGGUCUUUUCCAACCUUAAUGAUUCUGUGAGGUCGUUGGAUCAUUGUAGGGCCUGUGCUCCAGAUGCUGGGCAGUGAUGGGUGUGAACCUUGGUCAACCUCCCGCUUCUGGGAGAGGGAGCGAAUAAUCCCAGCCCCCGGGCUGCCAACAGGGAGGUGUUUUGGAACAAAUAUAAGCCUCACGCAGGAGAAAAUGAUUUCUGUUUUUCAUGUAAGGAGAAAAUCUCCCUGCCAGCAUCCAACUUCCCCAGCCCUGCCUGUCUGCUGUGCGGAGCAGUGAGGGCAUUAUAAAUAAUUUAUUCUCUGGGCAGGGGGAGGAGGGGAAGAAGAGAGAGUGAGCUUUUAAUUAAAAUGAUAUCUUACAGAUCAAAUAAAUAUGAAUAGGAUGCCAGGAACAACUGUACAAAUCCCAAACAUUCUCUUGUGUUUUAAUUAUUUGUGUUGAUAAAACAAGAGCGAAGGCGUUUUGCUCUGCGUGGAGAGCGAGGAGGCAAAAGGUUAUGCUGGCGUUUCUUAUGUUCUUUUCGAGGAACAAAUGUUUCAGAAGCACAGAUCUGACAAACUAUAAUUCAUAUCAGGAAUUAAAUUGGAAUUUAGAGAACAAUUGUUAAUAUUUCAAAGUAAUUGUUUAAGAAAUUAUCAUUUUCGUAUCUGCCUCAAAAAUAAUUACCCACCACUAAUUUUUCUUUUUCAAAGGCUGCUAUUUGUUGGAAUAGAGGCAAGAUGGGGAUUUUUGCUGUGGGCUAUUUAUGUAGUUCAAAUGAGGAGAUAAAUAGGAAGGGACUUUUAUGUUCGUAGGCAAAUGAGUCUGACUAAUGCACGGCUUCAAGCUUAAAAGUGGGCUCUGCAUUUAUGUGAAAAUCUGGGCAAGUUCUUACGGAUGGGAUUUGCAAGUCACAGCAGGCAAGUGGAGAAUCAAACCCUGUGCAUGUUAAUUAGGGAUGGGGCACUGGAGGAACCCCUGCCACGUGGAGAAACCCUGCACAGGCACAGGGUACCCACACUGGGGGUCUUCCUCUGCGCAUGCGGACCCCAAUAGCACAGCCCCACCUUGUCUUUCUUUGUUCCAUGUCUGUGGGAAUAAGGUAGAGUAUUUGCAGGUUAUGUGUGUGCUUUUAGUGCUGGUUUUGCAGACUCAAGCAGUGCAGCCUCCCAGUCAAUGGAGACAGGAUUGUGGUCUAUAAAUACACUGCAGUCACUGCGGAGUAUAAAUGAGGGAUACAGUUUUCACUCUCAAAAGAAUCGUAGGAUCAUAAAGCUUGGAGAAGACCUCUAAGGUCCUCUAAGGACCUCUAAGACCUCUAAGAAGAACAUUUCCAGGGAUAGUGACUCCACCACAUCCAUGGGCAGCCCAUUCUACUGCCUGACUACUCUUUCAGAGAAGUUGUUCUUCUUAAUACCCAAUCUGAACACCCCCUGGCACAACUUCAGGCCGUUCCCUCUCGUCCUAUUGCUGGUUACACAGGAGAAGAGGCCAAGCCCCAUCUCACCACAAUCUCCUUUCAGGGACAUGUAGAGAGCAAUAAGGUCCCCCCCCCUGAGCCUCCUCUUCUCCAGAUGAAGCAAUCCCAGUUCUCUCAGCUGCUCCCUGUAAGACUUGUGCUUCGGACCCCUCACCGGUUUCAUUGCCCUUCUCCGGACCCACUUAAGGGCCUCAAUGUCUUUCUUGUAGUGAGGGGGCCAAAAUGAACACAGUAGUCAAGGUACGGCCUCACCGGUGUCAAGCACAGUGUUGAAAGAAGAACUGUUGUGGGUUUAUCGCAACCCUACUGUACAACCCCACUGCGUAACCCUACUGUGCCACUCUACAACCCUACUGAACAAUCCUACCCUACAUUAUUACCAAACAACCUUACCACCUUUUGCAGCAGCCUGGUGUGAGAGGGCAAUCACCAGCUCUGGUUAGAAGGGAUCUCGAGCAUCAUAUUCUGCAUCCCAUCACCUUGGGGUGGGGUCAUCCGGACCAUUGCUCUCACAACCUGCCCCUACACACUCCUGUGCUGCAGUACUGUGUCCUUCCCUUCCCUUCAAACAUUGCUUUCUUCAAAGGAAGGAGACAAACUGUGCUGGUGACAGCACCAGGAAGGGUUCAGCAAAUGACAGUUUCAAGGAAUUGCUGUAAACUUCUCUGAUCAGAGAUUGCAUUAAAGAGGGAACUGCUUCCAUGAAAACACGUUCAAAAGGAGAACCAUUUUUCUGUUUUCUUUUUUUUUCUCUCUCUCUUUCUUUCUUUUUUCCCUGCCAAAUGAUGAAUCCAUCUUUGUUAGGAACAAUCCUCAAAUGUGUUUUGAAACAUCUCGCUUACUGAUGCACGCUUUUUUUUUACCAGCUCCUCUUUCUCUCAGCAAUGCUGAUGUUGAUGCUAAUUUCCAAAGUGCAGAAGGAGAAGCAGUAUUUUGCACCAAGCCUUCUGGGAAAGGCUAUUUCUCCCCACAGAAACCAUUUUCCUCAUGAACUUUUUGAACCGCCCCAAUGCAAGGACACCUUCUGGCUUCCCCAGCAGCUGUCUGCCCCAGCUGUCCUCUAGGGCUGAUGUGUCCCUCCAGGUUGGUCCCUAUGAAGGACCCACAAAGCUGUCCUGCAGUCUCCUGGAGGAAGAUCCAACGGUGUUUGGGUUGUUCAUGCGUCUUCCACCCACUUCAUGCAAUACCUCCCCCUUCCCUUAGAUCUCAAGGACUUCACAGUCUCCCAGAGAUGCUGGUCUGGAGGCUAAUGAGGAAUACACUCAACCUUUGCAGGCACUGUGAUUAAAGAUUACUGGAGAAUGUAGGAGAAGCAAAAAAAAAAAAACAAAAAACAAAAACCCACUCCUUUUGGUUUCGUCCUCCCAGCUUGUUGCAAGCAUCCCAAUUACUGAGCAGAUCACAGGGACUCUGCUGGAAGACAUUGGUAUCCACAAAUUAGCAGGCUGCGGUGGGAGCAGUAAUUAAGGAAGCUUUGUGUUUGCACAGGUUUGGGGCUGUCACUGCUGUUUGUGUGCUGCCUGGAUCCAGGGUCCCCUCGCACACCCGGGCUCUGUGAGCCUGCUGUGUGAUGUGGCAGUUUGUGUCGGUUCUGCCAUGCUUUUUAAAGAAUUGCUGUGUUUUAGGAAUUAAUUGCAGUGAUUGCAGGCAAAGGACAAAAUGGUAGCGGCUCAUGGGGACAUCUGUAAAGCACCACUGCCUGUGGGGAGGAAGCAUCGUAGGAAAUAGGAAAACAUCCUUUUCCCCCAUGUCUCCAGGUGGAAAAGGGAGGACAAGGGCAGCAGGUCACCUGCUGGAUGGGGCAGUUGGGAAGAUGUGGAGAACCAAUGGGCACCAUCUGAUGCUGGAGCAGAGCUGCUCAGGUCCAUGCUCUCUUUUCAGUGGAUCGGGGCAUGGGAUUUCCAGUACCACCUUUGGGAAGUUGAUUUGUAGCACAGAUCUGUUCGCAGCAGACGCCUCUGCCAGGGAGUUUCCCCCUGUUAUGAAGCCAGUAUUAUCCUAUUCUUAAUUUAAACCUAUAUUACUUGUUAUGCAUUUGUGUAGAAGCAUUAAAAAAAAUCUCCUUUUCAUGUUGUUUAUCAUCUCUAAAUAUCAGAGCUAACAGCCUGAGUUUCCUCUGCUCUUUACAGAGUGCCUCAUAAAUCACCGCUGACUGCCGGGAUCGCUUUGGCCGCUCUUCCCCAUCGUCCUGUCUGCAGGAAUGGGCUGCAUGUUUCCACGUGGAUCGGGUCUGAAUUGGCUGUCUGAACCCAGAGAUUAAAGAAACAGCAGCCUCUCUCUCUCCUGUAACUGGCCCGAGAAUCCAUGAGCAUCCUCAGAAGUCUGAAGAGAAUGGGCAUCCUGUCUAUAUCCAAGGCAGGUAAUCACUGUAAAGAGACCCUUGAAGUGCUUGAUGGUGUACUGAGGAAGGUUCUUGGAUUCCAAGGCAAGAAGCAAAGCCACUUGGGUGGCUGGAAGGGCAAAAGCUGCAUUUCCCCACGCUGGGGGCUGCGGAGGAGGCAGAGGCAGAUACCUGGGGCUCCCUGGCAGCGCUUGCUGAAGAUCAGCCUUGAUCAGAACAGGUCUUCUCACAGGAAACAUCAACUUUUUGUCAAAAAAGCCUGAAGAUAAAUAUUCUUGGAUGAAAACCUAUAAAAAGCUCAGACUGACAAACUAUUUUUUUUAGGCACUUCUUUUUCUCCCAACAAGAAUAUAUCUGUCAAGAGAAACAGAUGUUCUCUAUGAAGAAUCUUCUUUAAUUACAAGUCUGUCAAAAAGAGAAAUCUUCAAGUGUCUCAAGCCUCAAAUCUGCGAAUGGCUUCAGCCCUGGGCAAGAAAUCACCCCUUUCCUGAGCAGCCCCAGUGCCCUUUCUCAGCUCUUGUCAUGUCAUCCCUGCAGCUGCACCAAUAAACUGGGCAUUUUUGGAGUUUAGUUUUCAGAUGAGCCCGCUUCAAAUCAAUGGAGCUGCUGCUUUUCGUGACUCCUGGGAAUAAGAUGGCGUGGAAACAACCCACGGCCAUGCCCAAAUAAGAAAACUAAAAGAAUUAUUGGUUUUGGUCAACCUGGAACAUGGCUCUUUUUGCCCUGACAUUUUCCUAGAGGAAAGUGAAACUCUUCAUCUACAGAUUCAAAAAGUCCCAAAGGCACUCUGUCAGACAUCUCCCAACGUGCUCUCUCAGUUAUUGCUGGAUGGAUCAGAAGUUCUCCAGGGAGCAGUGAAGAUGUUUUUGCGGGCUACAAAACCUCAAAGGCUGAAAAUACUCAAUUCCAGUGUCUGCUUCUUGCUUCCAGAGGAGAUAUCUGCUCUUUGUCUUCAUCUUCAUCGUCAUCAUCUUUGUCUUUGUCUUCAUCUUUGUCUUUGCUUUGUCUUUGUCCUCCUUCUCCUUCUUUCUCUCUCUCCUCUUCCUCUUCCUUUUCCUCCUUCCUCCAGCUCCUAAAUCCCCACCUUCCCUUGACCCCCCCUCCUUUCCUUCUCCCCAUCAUGCAUUGCAUGCUGAAUGCAGGAGGCUCUCAAAGGCAAGAGUCGGCCUGGGACACUCUUACCCACAAUAGCAGUGGUGAACAGAACCCAGGUUUUCAGCCAGGAAAUUUCACUGGUAAUCUCCUGCGAGGGAGGCGCUCCCAUUUUUCAUGAUGGUUGGCCCUUGCGGGAUAUGGAUGAAAAGAGAAAGCAUUUCAUUUGCUCUUUGAAAACUGGAGCUAUAGAUCAAGGCCCUGCUCAGUCCCCUGAAGACUAGAAAUGGGAUUUUUGCAAGAAUUGAGGCUAUCCUCUCUGAAAACUAAAACAGUUAUCUACACUUUCAUCGAGAGGUCAGCAGUAGAGAUUUUUCUCCAACAGCUGGAUAAAUCCAGGCUGUUAGUGCCUCUCCUUCCCACUGUUCUCUGUUAUUGCUUUUCAUUACGUGAAGGGUGAGGAACAAGCAAAUACCUCUGCUUUCUAGCUUUGCCCUUGCCCGUUUGUACAAAGCAGCCAAACAUUUCCUUCUGACACUCAGGACCCAAGCACCUUUGGUGUCUGAUGUUUCUCCUUGGAUGCCAUGGUCUGGAUGCAGUUGCUCAGGGCUGCUUAAUCCUACCAGAUGGCAUAGAAAUGUUAUUUUUUGGACACAGGCACUCUUCUUGCCGGAUAUGGGUGCCACGGGACCAGGGCAUCCUUUGUCGCCUGGACCCAGUGUGAUCUCCUGUAACACUGGGCAGGAGGGUUUGCAGAAUCACGCUGCAUCCUGCGUCCCUGAGCCUUGCAGCCAUAAAUCCUUUGCCUCUGCCACAACUGUGAUUGAGCCUGCCUGGCUUAAUUUAUUUCUCCAGAGCCCACACAGUUAUGGUAGAGAUGAUUGCCUGCUCAAGGAGCAGCACUUGGGAUGAAAUCUUUUCCUCUUGAGAGUGCUGCUGGAAAAACAAGGCAGUGUCCGUGAGCUGCCAGCAAUCCCCAUGUAGGCAUUGUCUUUGCUUGGCCACUUCUUUGCGGUGCUCUCAUCCUUCCUGACCUCUCCCCUUCUCUCCCUUCCUUUAAGUCCUUUUCUCUCUGUUUCAUUUCUACCUAUGUCUCUUCCUCUUCAGGUUCCUCGCUAGGCACUGGAGCUGAUUGCAGUGGUGAUCCAGCAAAUCACAGUAGUGAUGCUGCUGAUGGAAUAACUCCUUGGGGUUCCACACGGUUGCUGUGCGGGCACUGAGUUUCAAACUGCAGAAAAGGAGCAGGAAAGCCUGAUAUUUGGGUGCAUCAACUGGAGCUUUCAUCCCCACCCCAGGGAGAUGGGUUUUGGAGCCCUAGCAGCCUGCCCACCCUAUGGACAUGGCCAGAUACCCCCAGUUCCUUCCCAAGCACUGCUACCCAGAGAGGUGCUCUGUCCUGGCUAUGGGAGUUGAGCACGAAUAACUCACAAAUAAUGGAAAUCCCCACCAUGUGCCCCCAGCAUUGGCACGGCUCAGAGCCCUGCAAGAAGCGCGCUGCCUUGUUUGUCACCUGAAGCACUUGGAAAAAUUACACAAAUCCAUCAAUGUAAUGAAUCUUCUCAGCAGUGGCGAAUAGACAGAGACAGACAGGCACUCAGCUGAAACAAGUCAUCUUUAAAAAUUAAUACAAAAUAAACAGCUGGCCUUUCGCUCCGCUUCCAGGUGGCGGCUGCGUGGUUUGGGCGAGGGCUGGGCAGGGACCAAUGAUGGUUCCCAAUGGGAUCACGUCCCUGGGGCAGGGAAGUGUCCUCUGCCGUGUCCCUGUCACUGUCACAGUGUCACCUCCAUCUGCUGCUGCUCCAGGAAUGGUGGUGCAGCGCGGCAGUCAGUGUUGCACUGCGUGAGUGACUGCUUAAGAAACAGCCAAAUCUUUGGGAAUGCCAAAGCCUCAUCACCUCCCUACAGCCUUGCCAGGCUUCUGCCAGCCCUCUGGGCUCUCACAUCAGUUUGUCAGUGUCUGAUGGAGCUUGUACACUCCUCAGAGGACAGGCUGAGCUUGCUCUCCUGCUUGUCACGAUGUGGGCUCCAUAAAUAAUUAACAGUGGUGCUGCUUCUGCCCCCGAGCUUUCAUUUCAUUACCCAGGAAUAACAUACCCACCUAUAUACGUGUGUAUGUACAUGUCUGCGUGUAAUACGCAUCCAUAUGUACUUACAUUGCUUAAACAUCUGUUUCACCGGCCAGCCUCUCUGCUUUUCCUUCGGCCAUUGCUCUGUCUCCCUGCUGGUCCCAAGGGCAGGCAAGCAGCAGAAGGCGCUGCUCUCGACCGUGAGCAUCCCACCAGUGCUCCAGCUGCUCCUGCUCUGAGGCCAGGCUAUUUAUGAGGUACCAUGGGGCUGCCCUUGCCCUGCAGAGUGUGGGGAUGGAGAGCGGGGAGGAAGACGGAUGGAUCCUGAAUUGAGGUGAAUUUAUGGGGCUUUGCGAUUCCUGCUGCUGUAUGUCUCCGAGAAAUGACACCGCCACUUCAGGAGCAGAGAUUAAUCUGAGCCGGCAGGAGAAGGACAAAACAAAUCAUCUACUGCAGGAAUCUCAUUUGAUGCCUGUUAGUAAAAGCACUGCGAUGAAUGGCUUUUGUAAAGACCGCGUAGUACAGGCUUUUUUUUUUUCCUCCCUUUUCUCCAUUCGUCUGCAAAUUGAGGUCUGUGAGGUGUGUGGUGGAGGCACCCCAGGGUCACUCAUGGCCAGGCACAGGACAAGGACUCCCAGCAGCUUUGUGCACUGUGAGACAGGAGAGCAAAAAAGGGAAGGCAGAGCUCCCAGCGCGUCGUACCCAAGGAAGGAAUCCUUCGCUUUUGUUUUUAAAAGGGCAUUGAUUCUCACGUCCUGCAGAACACGGGGUCGGGGCAGCCUGCAGCCCCAGACAGAACAUCCCAGUGCUGCUCUGCAUCCCAGCCAGCAGCAGCUGGAUGCGGCCCAGUGGGAGCAGUACCAGCACCGAGCACUCCUCCCGCACGCCGCUGUGCAUCCCAGCUCAAUACAGAAUCAAUUGGAUUGAUCUUUUUUUAAGGUGCAGCCUCCGAACGGCUGAGACUGUGAGAGACGUGGCUAAGCACGCACUUCCACAAAAUAAUUUGUCAGGCCCCGCUGUAGAAACCUAAUGAUGGCUGUAAUUUAUUGCUGACAGACGAUAUUUAUCACCGCAGCAUCCCCUCUUUCUCUUCCUCUGUCUCGUUAGGAAUGGCAUCAAUAAUGUUUAUUGUAGCUUUUAAUUUUUUAUCGCUGGUAUUCUUACCUGUGCUGCUGAGGGCUGCAGGAGAUGGGAAAGGCGUCAGAGCAGAUGGAGGCUCAGCUCUGUGCUGAAGGGUGAGCGAUGAAGGCUGGAAGUUCCUCCUGCGUGCCCAUGCAGGGAGCGUGCAGUGCCAGAGAGCACCCCGAUAGCAGGGAAAAGUGAGCUGUUCCCAUAAAGCUUACUCCCUCUCUUCUGAGCCUUUGGACCUGUGCAAGGGAUGCUCAGACCCAGCAAAGCAGUGGCAUUGCUUUGGUUUUCCCCAGACGCUGCUCCCACGUGGGGCUGGAGAAGGAACAUCACCCCUCCGCUGCUGCACCUGCAUUGCUGCGAUCAUCUCACACCUGAUGAUGCCCACAAGCCCUGUGGUCACAGUUCUUGUCCCUGAAAGCAACCAAAACCCCAACUCCAAUCCUGAAAUCUCCUUUUUUUCCCCUCGUUUUCCUACAGUUUUUCCUACCCUUGAGGAAAUGUGCUGCACCAGGUUGUGAUGCCCUAUAAACCAGCACUUCCCAGAGGGGAUUUCUUCCCCCUUUCCAGACGUGAAUAAUUACCCAGGCAGAGGCUGUUCCAGCCUCGUUACAGGAGCCUCUCAGACUAGCCGGUCAUUUACAGAUUAGAUAGAUGUUGCCCACGUUGUUCAUAACUGAUUAUGGGAUUGGCAGUUUGGCUCUCACCCAAAAUUCAGAGUCCUGAUUUAGCAUAAUUGGAAGUGAAUGGCGGAGCAGGCUGGGGGAUGGGGAUGGUGCCUGCUGCUGAUUUCCUAAUGCCGGCUUUGGGGAUCCCUGACAAGCUGCGGAGUGCUCUUUAUAGGGCAAUAACGUUUAUGGUGUGGGUUGUCUGGGGGAGGAACUCCUGUGAUGGCAGCAGCCACCUCCUGCACGUCCCAGAUCGAAGCUGGAGAAAUCAAGAAUACCAGAAGAGCAACGAGGAUGAUAUUAAAAAGUAAUCCCUUCUGUGUCAAGGUGUGGGCUUUUUUGCUUAUAGAAAUUGUUCUUCUGCAUUAAUCUCUUCUACUUUGUGCUAUCCUGUCCUUUUACUGACUUCUGUUCCUCCCUUAGUUUAUCCCACUAAAUGUUGGCGUUCCCACUGUUGACCCUUCAUGCACCCAUAGCCUUCC
ensembl:lncRNA